GAGACAAGCGCAACAGAACACGUGUCGAUUCAUCUAUCACUUUGUCAACAUCAAAAGUAUCCCAUAUCAUCAAGGUCAAACACACUCUUGAUUUGAUGAACUUGUUUUGACCCUCAAAUUCUUGAGUCAACCUUAUACUCUUGAGGAAACCAGAAAACCCUCAAGCCCAAUUCAAGAAUAAACAUGUGGAAAGUUACUUCUUCAAAAGCAAAAGUAUCUCAUAUCAUCUAUUCUCCUUUUUCUUCUCUUUAUCCUUCAUGCUGCUUGCAAGAUAGGGAGAAUGAGAACAAUCAGCCGGAACUCGAAAUUAAACUUCUGAUCUGGGACUAAUUGGUGGGAGAUCUGAUUGCUUACCUUGUCUGUCACAUCUUUCGGCGGAUCUCCUAGGUCGGCGACUUGGGAGACUCCUACUACAUGGUUUGUAUCGCGUUUGACCAAGUCUGAAACUACAAGUAAGCUUCAAGUGAAAUUGAUACGUUAGCUUGUGCAUCUUCACCGGUUAAGGAUGCCAUCCCUGGAUGGAGGAAAAGUACUUUCAGAGAAGAUGCCACAUCAACCUAUGAGAUAGAUAAGGCAAGUGAAAAUGAUACCACAUUUCAGUACUUAGAAGUUUCAUGAUUACUCAGCAGCUUGGAUCUUGCAAGUCCCCAACCGAUGAGCUUCCCUCACUCGGGAACUUAGGGGAGUACUGUUUGUACCAUACUUGACUAAUCCUGAAACUACUGAGCACUGGUCAACGUUAUACCGUUAAGGACCCAGAAGAAUUUCCCUCAAACCAAGAGGCCAAUCACAGUGUGACACAUGUCGACAUCAGAAGCCAAUCACAGUGCGACACGUGUUAACAUCAGAAGCCAAUCACAACACGACACGUGUCAAUGUCAGAACAAAGUUAGAAACUCAUCUAUAAAAGAAGAUCAUUCUCUCACAAUAUUCCUAAUGUCAUUUGUACUAAAUCAUUCACUAGUACUCACUA
rnacentral:lncRNA from 1 species